AGAGCAGAAGGAGGGGUGCCUAUCUUAGUCUGGAAGGGAGAAAAGGCUUCCUUCAGAUAAUAUUACCUGAUUGAGAGAUCCAAAGGCAAAUAUUUAUUCCAUGUCUACUCUGUGGAAGUCACUGAGAACUCCAGGGAGAAUGAGAUAAGGGGCUCACGGUCUGGAGGAGGAGACAAAUGUCAACAGAUCAUUCGAGGCAGCCUGAGCUGUGUUGCAGCACAGGGCUGUGAAUUGACUGUUGAUAUCUUCUACCCUUUCACCCCAUUUUUAAGGACAGGCUUCAAAAAGAGAUACAUUAUUUGAUGGGGAUGUGUAAGCCUGGAGAGAGAGGAUUGGAAAAAUGACAGCUAGAAGAAUUUUCCUCCUACUGAAACACACAUGAUGGUGGCUUUAUACUAUACACCGGAUUUUGCAGAAAGAAAUUCAAGACUGUCUACUGGGAAGCAUGGGUGGUACCCUUAAACCUUUAUGACAGGAAGUAAAGAUAGCUGGGCCUCUACCUGUACAUUGUCAAGCACCUCAAGAUCUGAA